GAUGAACGCUGACAGAAUGCUUAACACAUGCAAGUCUACUUGAAUUUGGGUUUUUUAACUUCGAUUUGGGUGGCGGACGGGUGAGUAACGCGUAAAGAACUUGCCUCACAGCUAGGGACAACAUUUGGAAACGAAUGCUAAUACCUGAUAUUAUGAUUAUAGGGCAUCCUAGAAUUAUGAAAGCUAUAUGCGCUGUGAGAGAGCUUUGCGUCCCAUUAGCUAGUUGGAGAGGUAACGGCUCACCAAGGCGAUGAUGGGUAGCCGGCCUGAGAGGGUGAACGGCCACAAGGGGACUGAGACACGGCCCUUACUCCUACGGGAGGCAGCAGUGGGGAAUAUUGGACAAUGGACCGAGAGUCUGAUCCAGCAAUUCUGUGUGCACGAUGGCGUUUUUCGGAAUGUAAAGUGCUUUCAGUUGGGAAGAAAAAAAUGACGGUACCAACAGAAGAAGUGACGGCUAAAUACGUGCCAGCAGCCGCGGUAAUACGUAUGUCACGAGCGUUAUCCGGAUUUAUUGGGCGUAAAGCGCGUCUAGGUGGUUAUGUAAGUCUGAUGUGAAAAUGCAGGGCUCAACUCUGUAUUGCGUUGGAAACUGUGUAACUAGAGUACUGGAGAGGUAAGCGGAACUACAAGUGUAGAGGUGAAAUUCGUAGAUAUUUGUAGGAAUGCCGAUGGGGAAGCCAGCUUACUGGACAGAUACUGACGCUGAAGCGCGAAAGCGUGGGUAGCAAACAGG
rnacentral:rRNA from 1 species